GACGUAGGGCGCGAGCGUUGUCCGGAUUUAUUGGGCGUAAAGAGCUCGUAGGCGGCUUGUCGCGUCGAAUGUGAAAACCCACAGCUCAACUGUGGGCUUGCAUUCGAUACGGGCAGGCUAGAGUUCGGUAGGGGAGACUGGAAUUCCUGGUGUAGCGGUGAAAUGCGCAGAUAUCAGGAGGAACACCGGUGGCGAAGGCGGGUCUCUGGGCCGAUACUGACGCU
rnacentral:rRNA from 1 species